UACGUAGGUGGCAAGCGUUGUCCGGAAUUAUUGGGCGUAAAGCGCGCGCAGGUGGUUUCUUAAGUCUGAUGUGAAAGCCCACGGCUCAACCGUGGAGGGUCAUUGGAAACUGGGGAACUUGAGUGCAGAAGAGGAAAGUGGAAUUCCAAGUGUAGCGGUGAAAUGCGUAGAUAUCAGGAGGAACACCUGUGGCGAAAGCGGCUCACUGGACCGGUACUGACGCUGAGGCGCGAAAGCGUGGGGAGCAAACGGG
rnacentral:rRNA from 1 species